UACGUAGGGGGCUAGCGUUGUCCGGAAUCAUUGGGCGUCCAGCGCGUGUAGGCGGUCCGGUAAGUCCGCUGUGAAAGUCGGGGGCUCAACCCUCGAAUGCCGGUGGAUACUGUCGGGCUAGAGUGCGGAAGAGGCGAGUGGAAUUCCUGGUGUAGCGGUGAAAUGCGCAGAUAUCAGGAGGAACACCAAUUGCGAAGGCAGCUCGCUGGGACGUUACUGACGCUGAGACGCGAAAGCGUGGGGAGCAAACAGG
rnacentral:rRNA from 1 species